CCUACGGGAGGCAGCAGUGAGGAAUAUUGGUCAAUGGGCGAGAGCCUGAACCAGCCAAGUCGCGUGAGGGAGUACUGCCCUAUGGGUUGUAAACCUCUUUUGUCGGGGAGCAAAAGCCGGACGUGUCCGGCUGUGAGAGUACCCGAAGAAAAAGCAUCGGCUAACUCCGUGCCAGCAGCCGCGGUAAUACGGAGGAUGCGAGCGUUAUCCGGAUUUAUUGGGUUUAAAGGGUGCGCAGGCGGAUUGUUAAGUCAGCGGUCAAAUCGUGGGGCUCAACCUGUAGACUGCAGUUGAAACUGGCUGUCUUGAGUGAAGUAGAGGUUGGCGGAAUUCCGAGUGGAGCGGUGAAAUGCGUAGAUAUUCGGAGGAACACCGGUGGCGAAGGCGGCCAACUGGGCUUUAACUGACGCUGAGGCUCGAAAGUGUGGGUAGCAAACAGGAUUAGAUACCCUUGUAGUC
rnacentral:rRNA from 1 species